UAAAGUCAGUUACUACUUAACUUAUACAUGCAAGUUUCCGCACCCCUGUGAGAACGCCCCCCCCCCCUAAUCGGAGAAAGGAGCUGGUAUCAGGCACAAUAAUUAGCCCAAGACACCUAGCCAUGCCACACCCACAAGGGAAUCAGCAGUAAUUAACAUUGAACAUAAGCGUCAGCUUGAUUCAGUUAAAGUAAACAAGGGCAGGCAAAUAUGGUGCCAGCCGCCGCGGUUACACCAUGUGGCCCAAAUUGACCCCCCCCCAUCCGGCGUAAAGAGUGAUUAAAGUAACACCACACUGUAGUCAAACUAGAAUAGAGUUGUGAUAAGCUUAUAUCUAGGAAGCCCAAAAACGAAAGUUACUACACUCCAAACAACU
rnacentral:rRNA from 1 species